rnacentral:snoRNA from 1 species
GGGAUAUGAUGAGUGGUCAAAACUUGCAUUUUGUAUUGCAAGAGUAGGGUGUCCGCCCAAGCCUGGUUACGACAAAUUGGGCACCCCAAAUAUUUACCAUUCUGAUCCC